GGGGAAUAUUGGACAAUGGGCGAAAGCCUGAUCCAGCCAUGCCGCGUGAGUGAUGAAGGCCUUAGGGUUGUAAAGCUCUUUCAGUAGGGAAGAUAAUGACGGUACCUACAGAAGAAGCCCCGGCUAACUUCGUGCCAGCAGCCGCGGUAAUACGAAGGGGGCUAGCGUUGUUCGGAUUUACUGGGCGUAAAGCGCACGUAGGCGGAUUGGUCAGUUAGAGGUGAAAUCCCGGAGCUCAACUCCGGAACUGCCUUUAAUACUGCCAGUCUAGAGUCCGGAAGAGGUAAGUGGAACUCCUAGUGUAGAGGUGGAAUUCGUAGAUAUUAGGAAGAACACCAGUGGCGAAGGCGGCUUACUGGUCCGGAACUGACGCUGAGGUGCGAAAGCGUGGGGAGCAAAC
rnacentral:rRNA from 1 species